UACAUGGGGUGCAAACGUUGCUCGGAAUUAUUGGGCGUAAAGCGCACGUAGGUGGUCUGUUAUGUCAGAUGUGAAAGCCCUCGGCUUAACUGAGGAAGUGCACCUGAAACUGGCAGGCUUGAGUACGAAAGAGGGUCGCGGAAUUCCUGGUGUAGCGGUGAAAUGCGCAGAUAUCAGGAGGAACACCGGUGGCGAAGGCGGGACUCUGGGCCGAUACUGACGCUGAGGAGCGAAAGCGUGGGGAGCGAACAGG
rnacentral:rRNA from 1 species